rnacentral:rRNA from 1 species
AUGCUGCAACUCAGGCAAGAUCCAUUCCAUGCUAAGGCAAGGCAACAGUACAAUCAUCACUUUAUCGGAAAACAGUACAGUCAUCAGUUGGCAAAGAAAGUAAACUACGUAGCCACGUGGCUAUUCCUUCUUGGCGGCAAUCUUGGUCCUGGGCCCCGCCGGCGCCGAGAAGAGUGGGGUGUGACUGUGGUGCCUGAUCACCAUGAUCAUCACGAAGGUGUUGGCGGCCAGGAACACGAGGCCCGCGGCCCAGAGCUGCACGAACACGUUCCGCCCCUUGAACUCCAGCAGGUAGGCCCACAUCAGCCAAUGCAGCUGGGACCCCAUCCACACCAGCGUGCAGACCAGGCCCUUCCACUUCAGCUUCAUGCCGGUCCAGGGGAGGAUGAGGGGCAGCAGGCAGAAGAACCACACGAAGUACUGCGCUGUCAUCACCUGCUCGUCGACAGAGUAGCAACUGUUAGUAUUUCAGGUUACCGUAGUCGUUUCACACAAACAGAAAAAAGUUUCAGAUGCCUCACCUUGUUGAAAGCCACAAAUGCGACUGUCUGGAGGAACAUGCAAAACGGAAGGUCCCUGGAGAAGCGUAUGAUGAGCGCCAACUGCACGAUCAGCUGCGGCAGGAACGAAGCCAGCCUCUGUAUGCUUGAGAACCCUUGCUGA